CCUUCGGGCUUAGUGGCGCACGGGUGCGUAACACGUGGGAAUCUGCCCUCAGGUACGGAAUAACUCAGGGAAACUUGAGCUAAUACCGUAUGAUGUCUUCGGACCAAAGAUUUAUCGCCUGAGGAUGAGCCCGCGUCGGAUUAGCUAGUUGGUGGGGUAAAGGCCUACCAAGGCGACGAUCCGUAGCUGGUCUGAGAGGAUGAUCAGCCACACUGGGACUGAGACACGGCCCAGACUCCUACGGGAGGCAGCAGUGGGGAAUAUUGGACAAUGGGCGAAAGCCUGAUCCAGCAAUGCCGCGUGAGUGAAGAAGGCCUUCGGGUUGUAAAGCUCUUUUACCCGGGAAGAUAAUGACUGUACCGGGAGAAUAAGCCCCGGCUAACUCCGUGCCAGCAGCCGCGGUAAUACGGAGGGGGCUAGCGUUGUUCGGAAUUACUGGGCGUAAAGCGCACGUAGGCGGCUUUACAAGUCAGGGGUGAAAGCCCGCGGCUCAACCGCGGAAUUGCCCUUGAGACUGUAUCGCUUGAACACGGGAGAGGUGAGUGGAAUUCCGAGUGUAGAGGUGAAAUUCGUAGAUAUUCGGAAGAACACCAGUGGCGAAGGCGGCUCACUGGACCGUAGUGACGCUGAGGUGC
rnacentral:rRNA from 1 species